rnacentral:rRNA from 1 species
AUUGAACGCUGGCGGCAGGCCUAACACAUGCAAGUCGAACGGUAACAGGAAGCAGCUUGCUGCUUCGCUGACGAGUGGCGGACGGGUGAGAAAUGUCUGGGAAGCUGCCUGAUGGAGGGGGAUAACUACUGGAAACGGUAGUUAAUACCGCAUAAUUUCGCAAGCCCAAAGAGGGGGAGCUACGGGCCUCUUGCCAUCGGAUGUGCCCAGAUGGGAUUAGCUUGUUGGUGGGGUAACGGCUCACCAAGGCAACGAUCCCUAGCUGGUCUGAGAGGGUGACCAGCCACACUGGAACUGAGACACGGUCCAGACUCCUACGGGAGGCAGCAGUGGGGAAUAUUGCGCAAUGGGCGCAAGCCUGAUGCAGCCACGCCGCGUGUAUGAAGAAGGCCUUCGGGUUGUAAAGUACUUUUAGCGGGGAAGAAGAGAGUAAUGUUAAUACCUUUGCUCAUUGACGUUACCCGCAGAAGAAGCCCCGGCUAACUCCGUG